rnacentral:sRNA from 1 species
GAAUAACGAGACGAAGUCGACUU